CUUGAACGCUGGCGGCAGGCCUGACACAUGCAAGUCGAGCGGAUGAGGAGAGCUUGCUCUCUGAUUCAGCGGCGGACGGGUGAGUAAUGCCUAGGAAUCUGCCUGGUAGUGGGGGACAACGUUUCGAAAGGAACGCUAAUACCGCAUACGUCCUACGGGAGAAAGUGGGGGAUCUUCGGACCUCACGCUAUCAGAUGAGCCUAGGUACGAUUAGCUAGUUGGUGAGGUAAAGGCUCACCAAGGCGACGAUCGUUAACUGGUCUGAGAGGAUGAUCAGUCACACUGGAACUGAGACACGGUCCAGACUCCUACGGGAGGCAGCAGUGGGGAAUAUUGGACAAUGGGCGAAAGCCUGAUCCAGCCAUGCCGCGUGUGUGAAGAAGGUCUUCGGAUUGUAAAGCACUUUAAGUUGGGAGGAAGGACAGUAAGUUAAUACCUUGCUGUUUUGACGUUACCGACAGAAUAAGCACCGGUUAACUUCGUGCCAGCCGCCGCCGUAACAC
rnacentral:rRNA from 1 species